rnacentral:lncRNA from 10 species
CGUGUUCCCAGCAGAGAGAACAGGAAAUGCAAGUUUCCUGAGGCAUGAACAGUUUGCGUAUCCUUGAGAAAAGGAGGCAAAAGUGGCCAGACAGAGCAAUGAAGAGACAGAGUAAAUGAACACAAAGUCAGAAAGGUCUUUAAAUGGAUUCAUUUGAAAAUCAGAGUCCUCCAUUAUCAAUAAAAGUAUUAUGAUGUGGCUGCUCUAGAAUAGCAGAAAGUUAAAAAACAAACUUAAAAUCAGACAACCAGUAAUAUUAAAUUUUCU